rnacentral:lncRNA from 1 species
CCUGCCGAAACUACAAGCAAUACAAGGACGCCUGGCUGCCGGAUUGACUGAAGAAUUCUUCUCACAACUCUUUCUUAACCGGCCUUUACUUAGUUAUUAUCCUCUUAACUUGCUUGACGAGCAGCUCUUUCUAUUCGCUUGACAAAGCCGCUGCUGCUCUUUCUUAAUGCCUCACUGCCUGACCUUAGAGAAGACGAAUUAGACUUCCUGAUAGACUACU